GCCCAACUGAGCUUCGGUGGUCCGGGGUGCAGGCUUCAAACCUGUAGCUGCUUAGCGGCAGAGUGGUUCGAUUCCACCUGGUGGGC
rnacentral:tRNA from 1 species